AUUGAACGCUGGCGGCAGGCUUAACACAUGCAAGUCGAGCGGGGAAGGGUAGCUUGCUACCUAACCUAGCGGCGGACGGGUGAGUAAUGCUUAGGAAUCUGCCAUUUAGUGGGGGACAACAUUCCGAAAGGAAUGCUAAUACCGCAUACGUCCUACGGGAGAAAGCAGGGGAUCUUCGGACCUUGCGCUAAAUGAUGAGCCUAAGUCGGAUUAGCUAGUUGGUGGGGUAAAGGCCUACCAAGGCGACGAUCUGUAGCGGGUCUGAGAGGAGGAGCCGCCACACUGGGACUGAGACACGGCCCAGACUCCUACGGGAGGCAGCAUUGGGGAAUAUUGGACAAUGGGCUGAAGCCUGAUCCAGCCAUGCCGCGUGUGUGAAGAAGGCCUUAUGGUUGUAAAGCACUUUAAGCGAGGAGGAGGCUACUUAGAUUAAUACUCUAGGAUAGUGGACGUUACUCGCAGAAUAAGCACCGGCUAACUCUGUGCCAGCCGCCGCCGUAA
rnacentral:rRNA from 1 species